AUGGUCAACUUGUUGUGCACCAGCACUCCCAGCUCCUUCUCCGCAGAGCUGCUCUCCCGCUGGUCAGCCCCCAGCCAGUUCUGGUGCAUGGGGUUGUUCCUCCCUGGGUGCAGGACCCGGCACUUCCCCUUGUUGACCUUCAGGAGGUUCCCCUCUGCCCUUCUCUCUAGCCGGUUGAGGUCCCUCUCAAUGGCAGCACAGCUCUCUGGUGUAACAGCCACUCCUCCCCAUUUUGGAUCCUCAGCAAACUUGCUGAGGGUGCACUCUGUCCCUUCAUCCAUGUCAUGGAUGAAUAAAUUGAACAGGAUUGGAGCCACUAUUGACCCCUGGGGGACACUGCUAGCUACUGGCCUUAACUAUAGCAAAAUUAAGUUACUAGACCAAGGCAAGGAAGGCAUUCAAUCUCUCUUCCUUUCCCAUGUCCUUUGUCACCAUGGCCCCUGCCCCAUUCAGCAGCGGGCACACAUUUCCCCUAGUUUUGCUUUUGCUGCUAAUGAACUUGCACAUCUUCUUGUUGCCCUUGACAUCCCUCACCAGAUUCAACUGCAGAUGGCCUUUGGCCUUCCUAGCCCCAUCCCUGCAUACUUGGACAGUGUCCAUCUAUCCUUCCCAGGUUACCUGUCCCUGCUUCCACCUUCCGUAUACUUCCUUCUUAUGUUUGAGUUUUGCCAGGAGCUCCUUGUUCCUCCAGGAAUGUCUCCUGCCACCUUUGCUCAACUUCCUGCUCAUUGGGAUGGACUCUUCCUGAGCUUGGAGGAGGUGAUCCUUGAAUAUGAAGCAGCUAUCCAUGUCUUCUUUUUUCUCUUUAGGGUCUUUAGGGCCCUAUCCCAUAGGAUUCUUUCAAGUAGGUCCCUGAAGAGGCCAAAGUUUGCUCUCCUGCAGUCCAGGGCUGUGAUCCUGCUUUUUGACUUAUUACCUCCUCAUAGGAUCCUAUAUUAUCAUUCCUUAUCCACAGAUAAAGAAGUCCUUCACCAAUCAAAGUUAUUCUAUCAUCAUAUAAGAAGCAGCCUUAUAAGAAGAAAAAGCUUUCUUGCUGCACUGAAAUUCCCCUCUCAAGGCCUAAGUGAACUGAGCUGUACAUUUCUCUGCCGGUGUGAGGAAAGCAGUCUCUGA
rnacentral:lncRNA from 1 species